AUUGAACGCUGGCGGCAGGCCUAACACAUGCAAGUCGAGCGGCAGCGGGAAAGUAGCUUGCUACUUUUGCCGGCGAGCGGCGGACGGGUGAGUAAUGCCUGGGGAUCUGCCCAGUCGAGGGGGAUAACUACUGGAAACGGUAGCUAAUACCGCAUACGCCCUACGGGGGAAAGCAGGGGACCUUCGGGCCUUGCGCGAUUGGAUGAACCCAGGUGGGAUUAGCUAGUUGGUGAGGUAAUGGCUCACCAAGGCGACGAUCCCUAGCUGGUCUGGAAGGAUGAUCAGCCACACUGGAACUGAGACACGGUCCAGACUCCUACGGGAGGCAGCAGUGGGGAAUAUUGCACAAUGGGGGAAACCCUGAUGCAGCCAUGCCGCGUGUGUGAAGAAGGCCUUCGGGUUGUAAAGCACUUUCAGCGAGGAGGAAAGGUUGGUAGCUAAUAACUGCCAGCUGUGACGUUACUCGCAGAAGAAGCACCGGCUAACUCCGUGCCAGCAGCCGCAGUAAAAC
rnacentral:rRNA from 1 species